AGUCUUUAUUGCAAGCUCGAGCCUGGACUCACAACCAUUUCCUACGCAGCGGUCCCGAGAGCUGGGUUAUCUGUCCUUUGAGGACUCACCCACCGCAGGAAAGAAGUAAUCCAGACUUUGGGGAUGGUACCAGAAGACCUCAGAAAUGGCUAUUUCCCAAAUCAACACGUGAAUUCCCAACUCCAACAGAGAGCAUGUGCAAUGCCACCUUUGAGUCACCUCUACAAAAGCCCCCUCACAGCCUCUGGGACAGGAGUGCCCCAUGGUUCACCUUUGCUAGCAAAGCAAUCAACUUUCUUUCUCCCUUUUCUCAAAAUCGUGUUCUCAUUAUUGGACCAGCACCCAGGACAAGGACCGAGAUUUCCACCACAGGAUGUUGUCCCAGUGUUGGAGACUCUAGGACUUGAAGAAAUAAACGACAGAAAGAUGGCAACUCACAUCACAUAAAGAAUACUGAUGGGAAGACAGAGCCGGAGGAAGAACCCGGCGGGGCGCCUUGUUUCUGGUCUGGCACGGGAGGGUCACUCCAUCAAAACAGACAUUGUUUUUGUAAGAAAAAGAAAGAAAGAAACUUCUGAAACUCAAAGACAAAGAAAAAAGCCUGAAACAGAAAAAAUACUCAAGCACUGUAGGACAACUACAAAAGGUGCAUCAUAUAUUUCGGAAAACAGAAGAAGAAAGCGGGAAGAGGACAGAAGAAAUAUUCGAAACAAUGAUGAGAGUCUCUCAAUAUAAUAUCAGACACCAAACAACGGAUUCCGGAAGCUCAGAGGACACCAAGUAAGAGAGAUGUCCCCAAAAUCUACACCUAGGCCUCUUAGAUCCACACUCACAAAUUCAAAGUUAAAGAGAAAAAUCCCAAAAGAAGCCAGAGGAAGGAAACACCAUGUGUAGCCAGAAGAAGAAUUAAAUCAGAAUUCUUAGAAACCCGAGCAGUGAAAAGAGAGCAGAGUGAAAUAUUUAAAGUGUAAAGAGAAAAAAAAUAAAUAAAUAAACCCCAUCAACCUAGAAUUCUGUAUUUUGUGAAUGGAUCCUUCUGAUGAAAUGAGAUGAAACGAGAACUUACACAGACAAAAAAAAAUUGAGUCCUGGGGCAGGAGAGCUACUUUGCACGAAGUGUUUAAAACAAAACAACAACAACAACAACAAAACUUGCAGGGGAAGGAGCUUCAUGCAGGCCAGAGGCUGAGACGAUAUAAACUAGGUAAGAGCAUUAGAGAAGGAGCUACGGCAAAAUCAAAACUUUUUUUUAUUGUAUAUCGUCUGGGGAUCAAACCUGGAGCUUCACACAUGCUAAGCACACAUCUACCAUCUUGGGCCCUAUUUUUCAUAUUCUGACCACAGCCACAUAUUGAGUGAUUGCAGUCAGUGGAUAAGUGAGAUGAAAGGCCCAGGGCAGCAGGGAGGGAGUCAGGCUACUCGGUUAUUGUGUUCUCACGGCCCAGGAGGUGGCACCGUAUUUAUUUGAGUGGACUCUAACUUGUCAAAAUUUGUCAUAGACAGUGAACUCAGUGAUUGAAGGAAAUUCAUAGCACGGACUGCAUUUAUUAGAAAAGAAGGAAGAUCUAAAAUCAGUAGUCUAAGCUUUCACCUUAGAAAACUAGAAAGAGCAAAUUAAAUCCAAAGCGAGCAGAAGAAAACAAAUAAUGAAAAAUAGAGCAGAAAUCAAUGACAUGAAAAACAGGGAAGCAAGAGGGAAAAUCCAUAAAACCUGAAGCUGCUUCUUGAAGACGUCAUUAUAACUGAUAAGUCUCUAGCCCAAGCCAGGCGUGGUGGAGCACACCUGAAUCAACUCAGGAGACUGAGGCAGGAGGAUGGCAAGUUCAAAGCCAG